UUACAGGAAGAUGAACCAUCCAUCAAGAUACAAAAGGUGGAUGAUGUAUCACAACAUAACAUUGUAUCAGAUGAUGAACCGAAAAUAUUAAAUUUUACACCACAAUUGAAGGAUGUAUCAGCACACCAAAUGGAACCACAAAGAGCAGAUACUGAUCAGCUUAUUGCUGAUUCUGAUACAUUACAGAACACUGGAAAGAAAGAUGGAAGAGUAGCCGAUGAUAAAACUGACAAAGUAGAAGAGCAAGUUGAGGAGAUUGAAAAAGAAAAAAUCAAACCAAGCACAUCAGAAUCCAAUACUUCAGCACCAUUUUCGACCGAAACUCUGGAUGUGAUAGAUGCUCUAAUAUA